rnacentral:rRNA from 1 species
UACAGAGGGCCCAAGCGUUGUUCGGAUUCAUUGGGCGUAAAGGGUGCGUAGGCGGCGCGGUAAGUCGGGUGUGAAAUCUCGGAGCUUAACUCCGAAACUGCAUUCGAUACUGCCGUGCUUGAGGACUGGAGAGGAGACUGGAAUUUACGGUGUAGCGGUGAAAUGCGUAGAGAUCGGAAAGAACACCAACGGCGAAAGCACUCUGCUGGGCCGACACUGACACUGAGAGACGAAAGCUAGGGGAGCGAAUGGG